rnacentral:misc_RNA from 1 species
AACACUGUUAACCUGCGGUACCUGCGGAGGGAUCAUUACAGAGUUCGUGCCCUCGCGGGUAGAUCUCCCACCCUUGUGUAUUUUCUACAUCUUGUUGCUUUGGCAGGCCGUUGGUUCGCCAACCACCGGCUCGCGGGCUGGUGCGUGCCUGCCAGAGGACCUCUCAAACUCGGUUUGUUAGUGUCGUCUGAGUACCAUAACAAUCGUUAAAACUUUCAGCAACGGAUCUCAGAUCGGAAG